rnacentral:rRNA from 1 species
GACGUAGGAGGCGAGCGUUGUCCGGAUUCAUUGGGCGUAAAGGGUGCGUAGGCGGCGCGGUAAGUCGGGUGUGAAAUCUCGGAGCUUAACUCCGAAACUGCAUUCGAUACUGCCGUGCUUGAGGACUGGAGAGGAGACUGGAAUUUACGGUGUAGCAGUGAAAUGCGUAGAGAUCGUAAGGAAGACCAGUGGCGAAGGCGGGUCUCUGGACAGUUCCUGACGCUGAGGCACGAAGGCCAGGGGAGCAAACGGG